AGUAGCAGACUUCCCAUGCAGGUCGUGUUGGCUUUGCAAUGAUGUUCAGACAAAAGGCUCUUAUUGCUUUUAGAUGCACACACACACACACACACACACACACACACACACACACACACACUCACUGUAGAAGUUAUGGCAUCAUGUCUGUGUGAGAAUGAGAUUUCCAACCCUUUUUGGUGGGGGGGGGGUGGAGGAGGAAUUGUUACUAAUCUGGACUGUGAUGGGGGUUAGUGUGGUUAAUCUGGGGGUGAUUAGCCUGAGAGCCCUGUAUCUCUUUAUUUCAGAGGAAUUACUAUCAGUUAACAACAACAGCAAAUCCCCUCUUCUUCCUUCUCCCCCUCCCACUUGGUUUAAAACAAGUAAAAUAAUUUAUUAAAUGCAUCGAGGUCUUAAACUCCUGCAGACACAUCAACCAUAGAUUACACAACGUGACCUGCCUUCCAAUGCUCCUUAUCCCCCACACACACCAAAAAGAGGGGAGGGAACAAAGGGAGACCCAAUCCCCUUUUAUAAAGCACCUCUUUCUACCACCCCCCCUUAAUAUUUGCAGCGGAAACGUUAUUUUUCUAUAUCGAAAUUUGUUUGUACUUUGAACAUUUGCCUGUAAAAUAACCCUUGUGGUAAUACUAAUAAGAUGCAAAUUUUAUAGAGAGCUAAUCGCUUUUUCUUAAUUUAUGCUUCAAGGAAAUGAGGGGCCUUAUCUAAAAACGUUUAAAAAUAGAGCCAGCCAGGUGCAUGAGCUGUUUGGUAUUUCUAACUAUCCCCUUCAUCUGUCUCUGUAUAUCUAGAUGGGUAUGGGUGAUCGUGUUGUGUGUGUAUAGAGAGAAACUAUAUAUAGUAUAGACUAUAUAUAUGUAUGACUCUAUGUAUCUAGAUGUAUCUGGGUGUAUACACUACAUAGCAGCUAUAUAUAAUAUAGAUCAUAUAUAUUUAUGUCUCUAUAUCUAGAUAUAUGUGAGUGAACUUGUGUGAUUGUGUUUAUUUAUAAUCAUAGACUACAUAUAGAGAGUUUUUAUAUACCUAGCAUAGGUUAUGUAUGUUUAUGUCCAUAUAUCUAGAUGUGUAUGUGUGCUUUUGUGUAUGUUUUGUGUGUGCAUAUAAUCACAGGCUAUAUACAGAGGUAUGUAUGGGGUAGAGACGGUAUAUAUCUCUAUGUAUCCAGAGGUAUAUGCCUGGUUGUAUGUAUAUAUAUAGUCAGAGACUAUGCAGAAAGGCUGGAUAUACACUAUAUAUCAUAUAUAUCUUCAUUUUACUCAAAGCCAUUUGGAAGCAAUUUUAUAUGUUUGUACUUUUCCAAAACGUUUUUAGUGACUGGCUUAAUCUGUCAAAGCUGUGGAAGAAUCACUAGAAAGGUGAUAGAAAUAUUUUCAAUGAUAUAUAAAUGAACAACCCAGACUAGGCUAACUUCUCCUGCUUAUUGAUGACAUCAGUCCUAUUCAGGUGAAGUUUUAUUACUGGAAAAAAUAAUGAAGCAUUAACUCGAUUUCAAUAUUUUUAAUUUGCCUCAGCUAAAUCUUUAGCAAAGAGGUUGAAUCUGGAUUUCUACCGAAAUUAAUUUUCAGGAUUUAUUUUUAAAAUAUUUGAUGCUCAACUUGACUUUCUUCAUCUGUUAAAUUAAUCCCUUACUUUGUCCCAAACCAUAAUUAUAUUCACUUCUGAUAAAUAAUUCAUGCCUAUCUCUUACCUUUGGACUGCCCUGUCUUCAAAACAAGCCCAGAUAGGAGUCUUGAAAAAUAGAGUUAAAUAUAAUUUAAUAGAAUCAAAACGGAAUGAUUUUUCUUAAAGUAGACAUGUUUUAACCCGGGAUUAAAAAAAGUGAAUGAGCUACGUUUCUUUAACAAUUAUCCAGCCAGAGACGGUUUAGUUAAACUCGCCAUAGUGCAAACACCAGAAAUGCAAAUAUUCCUAAUAAUAAAUUUGUAAGGAAUCCAUAAUGGUGGAUACAUUGAUCAGUUCCCUAAACUGUAUAGCUAGUCUGGAGUUAGAUAAUUAAAUAAACAAAUCACAAUAAAACACAUUAACUUAGUAUGUUUUAACUGAUGGUGUCUGAAGAGAAAGACAGAGAGUUGCUAGGUCAAAUUCAUCGCUAGUGUAACUCCAGUGACUUCAACAGAUUUACACCCCAGGGCUCAAAGACUAAAUUUAGCUCAGUGUCGUGUAAAUCAGCCGGAUUUAAAUGAAACUUUAAGCAGCUAAUGAAAUAUACCAGAAGCCGAGGAAUCACAAGGAUAUGCUGCAGUGUAAAUAUGUUUUCAAUAAACACAGGGUCCUUACAAAUCCGGAAUCGUUUAGAUGCGACUGGGAUGUCUUUUGAAUGGGUAAUCUGAACUGCACUCACUACUCUGGCUAUUCUCCCAGCCAAUCCACCGCCCCCCCCCCCCCCCGCUUUUAUUUCCCCUUUUAAAUACCCCCUUCUGAAGGAUAUCGGAUGUCCACACGGCACACACUUGCCAUUUCUAACGGGCUGACCUAGUUAAUGGUUGAUGUUGAUUAAUUUUUAUUUAUUUAUUGGAGUUUGCUUUCAGUUUGGUCGUGGCUCAGUCAAAAAUUUAAGGGCUCAUUACAUCCCCCUGCCUAGCACGCUAGAUACUUCGCAGCGCAAUUUAAAUUUGCGCCCAGGUGAGUUUUCCUAAGGCUUCGUCCCGCAAAGGCCUGAGUGCUUUCGACUCCCCCUGACUUUCCUACGAGUUGAAACACUAGACCCUGCCUAGGUUCGAGCCCCUGCUUAUGUAGUCGGGGGCCUAUUUCUGCCGGUAUACGUGAGGGCAGAAUUUGGCCUGACUUCAGCCAUUCUUUACUUUGCGGGAUUUUGUUUUUGCGCUUAUGUUUCUAUACAACACUCCCGCCGUAUUUAAGACUUUAAUAUAUAUGUAGGGGGACACCGCCUGUAUAUAGGUGCACAGUACUCAAGCAGCAUCAGCAAGUGAUAGUACAUCACAUGCAAACAAACAGACCAGAGCGACUUUCGUCUUGAACUUUUGCUGGGUGGAAAGAAGGAAAAGUUACACACCGGAUACAUUUCCCAGUCCACUUUGUGGUGGGGGCUGGGGUGCAAAAUACUGAACAGAGUGAGAUCGCUUUGUAAACAGGACAGCAAUCCCACGUGUUCUUUCCACUCAACCUGGGCAUUGACAUUUUCUCUCGGGACAUAUGAGAGAGAGAGAGAGAGAGAGAGAGAGAGAGAGAGAUUUCUGAUCCUUUGGAAGUCUUCCACCAUACAAGGGAGAGAAAAACAGAAGAUCUUUACCCUGCUCCUUUCUGAAACAAGGGGCAAAUUAAACUGGCAACACUGAAAAGGUGCGGUGUAUGUUCAGGAAAGUUUGCAGGACCGUGAAGUGUGUGUGUAUGUGUGUGAGCGAGAGAGAGAGAGAGAGAGAGAGAGGGAAUAGCUAGAGUCCGCAUCCUUAGCAGCCCCAAUCAACUUGUUUGUAAUUGUAUCUGGCAUUUUAACUACAGCCUCUUCCCCCGUCAUACAGAGAUCUGACACUAAACGUCUGAUCAAUUUAAAACAAACAAGAUUUGUGGGGGAUUUCCAGUCAUAAAUAACCCAAACGGCCUCUCUCGGUUGAUUUUACCGUCCAGGCUGCUUUGUUAGUUGAGAUUGGUUGGUCUGUUCUAGGCACACAGUUAACGAUGGAAGGGGUCGAUCACUGGCUGGGACACAUGGACUUUAGCUGAGGGUCUCCUCCAAAGUUAGGACGAAAGAUGCCGCGAAGGCAGAGAAAUCAUGGCCCCGAUGAAGUCAAUGGCGAAACUUUCCUUGGCCUCUUCAGCGCCAGGAUUCUACCCGCGCUGCUGAGCUAGGGGAGAGUCGCAGGGACCGCACCCGUCCAUCGCCUGCCCUUUCCGGGAUGGGGCCUGCAACUGAGGGUAGAACAGGAGGUGUCUUUGAAACGCCUUUAAUGAGACUCCGAGACAACAACAAUUAUAAUUAUAAUUAUUCCUUGUAGUUGCUAAUUUCGAUUUAUCUUCCAGGGCUCUUUUGUGUGCCUGUCAUUGCCUGUAUAAGCUAAUGGUUUUGCCAAUAGUCCCUUGCUUGUCUCUUCCCAAAGAAAAUCGUUGGGCUUUAAACAAGAACUCCCGACUGCAAAACUCCCGGACUUUGCCCUAAGAGGAGCGAGGACAGGGGAAGACACUGGAAAACGUCUACGGUUAAUUUCCAUAAACUACUAAAAAUAAAGAUGCGAUUAUAAACACACACAUUGCACUGACCAGGGGCCAAGCAUUUCUUCAGCAAACGUUAUGAUGUUUACAUGAAACAAGCCAUUACACCCAGCACAUGCAUCAAUAGCUUAUUUCAAAUAAAGACCUACAUUGCACCAUGACUGCCUCCAUCAUGCCACGUAAGCACCCGAGAUAAUCUGUUGUGUGUUACACAAGAUUUAAGAUCUGCUUUCCCCAGGGCAAGGCUUUUCUCUCUCUCUCUCUCUCUCUCUCUCUCUCUCACACACACACACACACAUACACACACACACCACCAAUCACGGAGGUGAUCAAAAAGGUGCAAAGCCAGAGGACAUCAUUGGUUGGAUCCUCAAGUUAUUGUAGGCUGUUUUUUUUUAAUUUAAAUUAAUUUUAUUUUUUAUCAGCAGGUUUGGGCCCUUUAUGCGCAGGAUGGCUGGUGAGAGAUGUUCUUAAGUGACCUGGGUAUGUUGGUUUAGAACGUUUGCUCUUGAGUUCUAACUCUGGUGGAAUCUUCCUCAGAAGAAGCCAUUGGAGAUCUGCCCAUGACUGUGAUCCACUGAGUCCCUCUCCUGUAUUGAGUUAAAGAUAUCCAGUCCCCUUUCUUCCCCACCCCAGCAGCGAGAAGAAACUGGAGAUGCAAAAAGCUGCCCAAGACCAUAGACUUUUGGAGGCUGUCUUUCCUAAGGUCCCAUUAGCAUGGGGUGUCAGUCAGCAGCCUCUCCCAUCUCUAAAGGGACACCAGCCUCACUGCUGCCUGAAGCCAGAAACAUCCACAACUUCAUCAACAAGCCACAGACUUGCCUUGCAGGGCUUCAACAGGACUCUGGGGCACACGGAUGAUCAUAUCUCACAACUAGCCCUCAAGGUUCCAGUUGUCUCCUCUGCCAUUCCAUGUGGCCUCCCCAAAAAGGCAUUCAGAGCAGAAGCUUUCUGGACCAAUGUCCAAUCCGAACAGUGAUGGUACCAGCAGAGCUCACCCCCAAACAGGACACAACUCCAAGCAAAAAAACCCAAAUUACUUCCCACAGGUCCCUGCUGAGGGCCAGCACGCUUUAUACCAAUGCCCAGCUGGAGAAAGAAUUCCAUGUUAUCAGGUAUCCCUGCUGACAAUGGAGUGUGGGAUUGGCUCAGCUACUCAACCUCAAGCUCUGGUUCCGAAGGAUUCGAAGGAUGAAGAACAAAAGGAGGGAGGGAACUGAGAACCUGUCCCCUAGCAGCUGGUUGGGUAGGAUGUGCCCAGGCGCCAGUCCUACAUCAAGGCCCAAGGAGAUGUGUGGGUUGACAGCCCGUCUCUGACAGCCCUUGUGCAGCUGUCCUGGAAGUUGGAUCCUCCUCUGUCUCUGCAAGGGAAGUGUCAUUACGAAUCCCCCUAAUCUGCAAAGGAGCUGGAGUGAGAAAAUUACCUGGAAAACAUGCCUGGGGCCAGCUCACUCUUCAGCCACAGCUACGCUAUAAACUUGGACCACAGCUGUGCUGCUCAAAUUCCCAGUCAGUGCUACCUUGGGGCCCUGUAACCCCCAUCUCACUUAAACAGACUUAAACACACAUCCUGCACUUCAGGGAAGUUCUCCGGAACUGCAGUUCUUGUGCAUCUGUGAGGGCUCUCUGCCACGGAAACCAAGCUGGGAAAAUUGCUACAGUCCUAUUAUGUCAUUAAAAAACAAAAACCAAAACAAAAUAGAAAAAACCUCUAAGUGCAACCAACAGUAUCCUUUGAUUUCCUCACCCUCUCUAUUCCCAGUUGCCUCCUGUGUAUUAAACUGUACAGAGAUCUGUGCAUAAGGCAUCUAGGAACUGGUGUGUGCAUAUAACCCAGCCAAAAACAGGAUAAGUUCUGUGUGAGCUUAUAACUUGCUCCAUGUAUUUUAUUAAAGUUGAUUUUACUCAGCUGCUUACCAGUGACUUUGUCAGGUACAAAGGUGUCAAUAGCUACCCUUUAAAUAUCCUUACAAUCCUUAAACUUCCUCCAAGCCUAGGGCAACAUUUUUUGAAAAGCAACUCGUGAUUUUAUCUACCUCACUUUCUGGGGGGCGUAUCUUAAAAGGAGUCUGAUUUUCAGAAAGGGUUGAGCUCCCAUCCUCUGCAAAUUAGGCCCCUUUAAGGUGCUUCAAAUUAGGCAACCAGAGAUUUUCUCAUGAGGGUGGUUUUUCCUUUAACCCCUCACAUUCCCCCUACCUGGAAAGAACAUCGCUGUGGCACUUCUACUAGCCAGUGGGUUAUUGUUUGAUAAGCAAAUGUAGAUGUAAACAUGUUUGAACCCACUCAAAUUUUGACCCUGCAAUAAGUUAGCUUCUCACUGUAAUUUACACAUUUUUUUUUCUUUUUAAGAGAGAUUAGUUGGCUCUUGGCAUAGUUUACUGUAUUGUUGUGGUAUUCAAAAUAAAGAGGCCUUUUAAAAACA